GACGAACGCUGGCGGCGUGCCUAAUACAUGCCAGUAGAACGCUGAAGGAGGAGCUUGCUUCUCUGGAUGAGUUGCGAACGGGUGAGUAACGCGUAGGUAACCUGCCUGGUAGCGGGGGAUAACUAUUGGAAACGAUAGCUAAUACCGCAUAAGAGUAGAUGUUGCAUGACAUUUGCUUAAAAGGUGCAAUUGCAUCACUACCAGAUGGACCUGCGUUGUAUUAGCUAGUUGGUGAGGUAACGGCUCACCAAGGCGACGAUACAUAGCCGACCUGAGAGGGUGAUCGGCCACACUGGGACUGAGACACGGCCCAGACUCCUACGGGAGGCAGCAGUAGGGAAUCUUCGGCAAUGGACGGAAGUCUGACCGAGCAACGCCGCGUGAGUGAAGAAGGUUUUCGGAUCGUAAAGCUCUGUUGUAAGAGAAGAACGAGUGUGAGAGUGGAAAGUUCACACUGUGACGGUAUCUUACCAGAAAGGGACGGCUAACUACGUG
rnacentral:rRNA from 1 species